GGAGAGAGGAGCAGGGAGGGGAGAGGAGGAGAGACGUUCAGUCCCUCUUAUGGACAGAUCGCAGGAAAAUACUGUAGAGAAAAUCCAACACAGUGUGGAGUGUGGAACAGGCCUGCUCCCUCAUCAACUCUCUACCAGGUAGGCGGGACAUAUCCAACGAGUUACGUUCCCAGGAGAUUAACGGCCAGGCCCUCCUAUUGCUGACAGAGAACCACUUGAUGACAGCUAUGAAUAUCAAAACUAGGCCCCUCCCUCAGACUCUGUGCCCACAUCAACUCUCUGAGGGAACCAUGAGCACAGGAAAUGAGCAUCUCAAAUGGCACCCUAUUCCCUAUAUAGUGCACUACUGUUGACCAGGGCUCUAUCUGGUCAAAAGUAGUGCACUAUAUAAGAGAUAGGGUGCCAUUUGGUAUGUGAACGAGAGGAUCGCCCUUUUUGGACUUUAGAGACAUUGGAUUCCAGGAGGAUUUGAGACACACACACUGACUCUCCGCCUUUCAACUCAGGGAGAAGCAGCUAAUAAACUGUUUUUCAUCAGUGUAUCACCAUAGUGAUUGUAGCAAUACAGCAUUUUCUGUGUAUUAAAUUGAAAGCACUGUACAGGAUGUUAAAAACUUAAUUAUAUUGAAAUGUUUUGCCAAAAUGUUGGUAGUCUUUGAAGGCUGUUUACCAAGCCUGAGACGAGUUGGUAUUUUACAACAACAAAGAUUGACUGAAGUUAUAUGAGGAUAUCCACCAAGAACACCCGUGGCAUAGCAACCAG